rnacentral:misc_RNA from 1 species
UCGUGAACCAGGUGGCCGAGGACA